rnacentral:rRNA from 1 species
UACGGGGGGGGCAAGCGUUGUUCGGAAUUACUGGGCGUAAAGGGCGCGUAGGCGGCCUGCUAAGUCAGACGUGAAAUCCCUCGGCUUAACCGGGGAACUGCGUCUGAUACUGGAUGGCUUGAGGUUGGGAGAGGGAUGCGGAAUUCCAGGUGUAGCGGUGAAAUGCGUAGAUAUCUGGAGGAACACCGGUGGCGAAGGCGGCAUCCUGGACCAAUUCUGACGCUGAGGAGCGAAAGCCAGGGGAGCAAACGGG